CCGGAGACCCCACGCGACCUGGAAGACAGAACCAUGGGAAUUACCCAGUCAGAACUACAAAAGGAAAAACAACUUUUUUAACACUGAGAGCAGUUGACGGAAUCUAUGGAACGACAUCAACUGUCCUAACUUCGGCAUGAUCGGGGUCCCAGAAGCAGAAGGGAGAGAGAGAGAAGUUGAAAAUGUACUUAGUGAAAUUAUGGCAAAAACUCACCAACCAUGAAGAAAGAGAGACAUUUCCAGGCGUAGGAAUCACACAGUCCCAAACAAACACAACCCAGAGAGACCCACACCAAGACACACACCAAAACCACAACCACAACCACAACCACAACCACAACCCAAUCCUACAACAGAAUCCAAGUGUCCCAAAUGUCCAGCCCCUGAGCUCCUGGGAGGGCCCUCAGUCUUCAUCUUCCCCCC